GGAGGACGCGUCCGGAACGCUGGCGCUGGUGUGUGUCUCCCCCGGGGUGUGCGGCUGUAAACAAAAUUGUUGUCAAUCGAGUUGCGUCUUGGAGGCACUAAGCGGGUUUGUGAGUUACAGGAGCCCAGGGUGGAUUCUUCUGUGGAAGGCAAGUCCGCUUGCAGGGAGCACACAAUGAUCCACUCUGGUCUUCAUUAUUUCAGGCUUUGUGACCUCAUAGGGCUCCAGCCCUACUUCGGUCCCCUUUGAAGAGCCUUUCCUCCUGUAAUCCUAGUUCCCACGCGCCAGAACUGCUGAGAUCUGUGGUCAGGAGGCAGAAUUUGCCAGAUUUAAACUAGAUCUUUUAAUCCAAAGAUUAUGGUGGGUGGGCAACAGAAAGCACAAAAAAACACUCAAAACCCGAAAAAAGUCCCCCGAACUCUGGCCAUCAAGACAGAGUGGGGCUCUGGCAACACCUGGCUGUGCUGGUCUUUGGGUCGGGGUCCUCACCUCGGGGUUGUAGUCCUUUGGGCACUGGUCGCUCCUUCUGCAACCCGGAAGAGACAAAUCUAUUUCACCAAGAUGAAGUGAUUUAUGUACACAAUGUAAACGGUGUCUCCGAGGUCUGAGGGAUGCAAAAUGCAGCAUGACUUGAAGAGAUCUCCCAUCCAGGAGAUCUUCAGUCAUGCUGUCCAGUGGAUCCUCCUCGAGUCUGAGCUGCAGCUGAGGUGAUGUUAAAUGACUUCCAAUACUGGCUUCUAAGAGUCUUGCUGUCUCUUGGAAUGAUGGCUCUUGGGACACUCCCUCCCAGGACCCAGCUGUAAUCUUCAAGAAUGAAUUGUGUGUAGGCCAUGUUGUUUCUCCUCUGUGAUGCUUGCUUGCCAUCCCUGCCUUGGAGCCAGCCCAUUAUGGACUGAAACCUCUACAAACUAGCUGGGUCUUCUGGCUUGGACCCGGCUUGGAGAGGAUCCCAGGAAAAAGCACAGAGUGAGUCGAAGCACUGGCCAGAUGGCGACCCUGUGAGCUCUCUGAUUCUCCUUUCUUUAUCUGUAAAAUGAGGGGCUCCCGUCCCCCAUAGCACUGCAAAUCUCUCUCGCUCUUUUUUUUUUGGUACUGGGGAGUGAACUUGGGACCUUGUGCUUGCGAGGCAGGCAGCAGAACCACUGAGCUAAAUUCCCAGCCCUAGCACUGCAAGCCUCAAACUUCACCUUUGGAUCCAAUCCCAUUCUUUUCAAUAAUGUCACCUUUGCUUACUUUUAUAAACACAUAGGAGCAAGUGAUACUUGCUUACUAACUUAAUUAAAAAAAACAAAACAAAAAAAGAACCAUCUCGGUCUCUACAGGUUCUGAAAAACAGCCUUCCAGACCCUGAACACCCCAAGGCGGGGCUUGUGUGCCCAAGCGGCUGGAGUCCCUGGCCUUGGAAGGGUCAGGUAGAACUGCUCUGCGGCGCCCUCUGGUGGCCACUCUCCGGCGUGGUCAUCGUGCACUGAGGGUUCUCCUUGGGCAUGGUGAGGGAGGACAUAUCUGAGGAAGAGAAUUAUUCUGAAAAAUGUGUAUCUGGUAUUUCAAAUGGAGACAUGGAAAAUGACAUCUUUCUAUUCUGGAAGUAGCUCUAUUAGUGUCCAGUGAUGAAGAUGCCAGAAAAAAGUGGCCCAUUCAUUAUAUUUAUGUUGUAUGAUAUUGUACCUCAGAGGGUGAAGUCAAUGAGAAGAAUAAGUAAUUGAAACAAGCAUUUUCCUUCCCUUGGCAGAAAUUCAGUCAUUAGCAAUAUACCUAUUUUACAAGGGGCGAUUAGAUAAAUUAGAGAUUAAAGAAAGUGGAACAGAUGUUUUUCCUGUGAUAAGCAUUAUUCUAUUAAAAAAAACUCCAGAGAGUUAGAAUCUGAGCAGGAAACAUGAAUGCACACUUUUUUUUGGGUGCUUUUACACCAAAGAAAUAGGCAGGAAGGCAAAGAAAUAGAAGGGAGAGAAAGCUGACCGGCAGUGUCAUCCCUGGACAUCGCGGUGACCCACAGUGACAUAACUAGCAGCAGUCCCUUCCGGCCGUGUUGGGAGCAAGCUGGCUUCCUGUGCACUCUGCUCCAGGUGCUUCUUGGACCUCACCUUUAAUCCCUUCAGGAGCAGAAUAGAGGCAGCCAUUGUUCUCUGUUUCAGAUAAGAGAGGAAGGGGAACUCCAGGGCUGAUGAUUUGAGAUGCAGGCCUGGUUCUCAAUCAGCUUGCAGUGUCGCCUGGUAGCUUGUUAGAAAUGCAGAUUCUUGGCCCUGCCCCAGACCUCCUGAAUCAGAAAGCUGGUUGUGGGACACAGCAAUGUGAGUCUCACCCAGCCUUGGGGGAGUCUGAUGCUGCUAAAGAUGGAGAACUGUGGAGUGCAUAGGAAUCUUCUGGGAAGCCCAAAUGACAGAAUUGCAGAUGCUUGGACCCUGGCCUCAGAGACUGGGUGGAAUUGGUCGGGUGGGGUGCAAGCGAUUCUGCUGUGCAGCCUGGUGCCAGUGUCAGAACCUCUAGGGAAAAGAAAGGCUGGUGGGACCGGAACUCAGGUAUGUCUCGUCUCCUCCUCAGUCCUCUGCUUGGACCCACCACCUGGCUGCCUCAGUAGGUCACAGCCUGCCUUUGCGGUGAAGAGAAAGAGGAAGACGUGUGCCUGACUUCACCCAGACUGCACAAGGGGCCAGUGCUUCCUCAUGGACCUGGCGUGUGUCCUCCCCCAAACCUAGGUUGGGUCCAGAAUAGUUCUGUCACCCAGUAUGGCCUCAUGACUCACCAGGACUUGGCUGCCUAUCUUCUGGGGAGAUUUUAUUUUCCUCUAAGAGAGAGCUCCAAGGAAAUGCCACAUACUAACUGUAUGCUGUCUGGUCUUUCUCCAAACUUGGCUGGGAGUGAUGCCCGAACUCUGUACUUGCUGGCUCUGUGGUGAACCCACCUGAGUGAGGCAGGGGAGUGAGGUGGAAAAGUGGGUCUCAGUGGAGUGGCUGAGGCUACAGAGGCCACUCUGCCGGUGGAGGAGGGGUCACCUUCCUUCACGGGUUGGAAACCCAACCCAAGCAGCCAGACACCUCCUAGAGAACACAUCUGAGUCCCACCCUCUCUUAAGGCUGCACUUCCCAUUCUGUCAGGUUCCCUGACCCCCAGGACUCUGGGUCACUGUCAUCUCACCCAUCAACUUGCCUGUUCCACCUGCCUGCUACUUCCAAGUCUGUUUUACUUUAUGGUUGUUUGUGGUUGUUAGGAUAGAAAGAGGCUUUCAAGAGACAAGCGAGGAAACAGUGACCCCAGAAGGAGCAAGUCCUAAGGUUCAGUAGGUACCAGGAAGGUGAAGGUUGGAUUUCUCUAGAGUCGAGAUUCCCAGAACCAGACUAGGCCCCUAACCCUCUGCUUCCUUUGGGGUCUGAAUUUUCUGGGAACUGUACUGUUGGCUGAUUCUGUGUGUCUUCAACUUUUGAUGCCUGGAAGUAGUUUACCCAGAUCAGAUGUGCCUUUUCACUAUUACAGGUGCUUCUUCAGGGUCUCCCUCCCACACAGGAAGGAACAUCCAUUUCUCUGGGGGGUCUGUGUAGACAGCAAACUGUCACUGGAGAGAACUGUUAAUAAUAAUGGCAACAAUACUGUUUAUUCAGUUGUUUGUUCAACCAUUUAUAAUUUGACAAAUGUGUAUUGCAUGUCUGCUGUGUCAGACACCAGGUCCAAUGAGUUAGUGGGUAAUUAAAGUACAAUUUACAGCAUUGUCUGAAAAUAGGUCAUUAUGAAAUCAUUGAGAAAAGCUCCCAAUCCAGGAAUGGGGACACUGGGACUGUGCUAGGAGGGCAUAAUGGGAGAGUGUUUCAGAUGACAAGGAGGGAGAGGACUGUAAGAGCAGGACAGAGGGCUGUGAGAUAUGAGGAAAUGGUAUGGAGAGGAGCCCAUAGUGCAAUAUCAUUGCGGCAGGCAGGGAGUAGGAGAGAAGAAGGCCAAAAGAGGGGCACCUUGUGCUCUAUUGUACUUUACUCUGAGAACAGAGGAGCCAUUCAAGGAGUUAGAAGAGGGGAGGGGCCACACAAACAGGCAGAGUGAAGAAUAAAUUGAACCUGCAUGCAUCCAUCAUCCAAUUUUGAUACUAAUUCAUAGCCAACUUUAUCUCUUCUCUCACUCUUCCUUCCUUCACUUAAAUUAGAGACGCUUUUUGUGAGAAAGUAGAGUUUCAGUUGAUUUGCUUUGGGAUCCACCCCAAGGGGAUUGGUAGAGCACACUUGUAGGUGUUUUUGGAUGGGUCACAGAGGCAUGGCCUCGGGGUCCAUUUCUGGUCCCUUAUUCGCUCUGCUCUAGGAUUGUUCCCCUGCUCUGCUUCCCACUCUCCAUAUGCUAAACUGCUUUGCUCUACCCUAUCCUUCUGCCAUGAUGUUCUUGCCUUGGAGCCAGCUGACUAUGGACUGAAUUCUCUCAAACCAUAAGCUAAAUUAAUCCUUUUUUCCCUUUUAAAUCGUGAGUGUUGGGUACUGUGUCCAGCAAUAGGAAAGCUAAAAAAUUCCUUGAUUUAUGAUGGGGUUACUUCUUGAUAAACUUAUUGUGGUUCAAAAUAUCAUGAGUCAAAAAUGCAUUCAGUACACCUAACCUAGCAAAUAUAAGUUGACUGAAUCUGUCCUAAAUGUGUUCAGAACACUUACAUUACCUACAUUUGGGCAAAAUCCCCCACAAAAAGCUAUUUUACAAUAAAGUGUUGAAUAUCUCAUGUAAUUUAUUGAAAACUGUACUGAAGAUGAAAAACAAAGAUUGUACAGGUACACUGUUGUGUUAUUGCAAAGUUGCACAAUUAUAAAUUUAACCAUUAUAAGUGGGGAUAUCUAUAUUUUGAAGGAAGUCUCUGAUAUUGUCACUUCUUUAAACAUUUUAAUACUUGUUUCUAAAGGAGAAGACCUUGGUAAAUAAAACAGAACCACAAUAUCAUAUCAAAAAAAAUAAGAAUUCCUAAAGAACAAACAUGUACUGAGUUCUUAAAUUUUUUCCUGAUGUUCUUAUAAUUUUUUUCACUUUGAUUGAAUCAGGAUCUAAUAAGGUCCAUAUUGGCUGUAUGUCUCUGAAGUCAUCUCUCUCUCUAUUUAUUUCUCUGUAACACAUUUGUUAAACAGGGUUUCUUUGUCCUGUAUUGCUCCUCAGAGUUUAGAUUUGCUGAUUGUAGCCUGGUGGUGUCAUUUAGCAUGUCCCUCUGUUCCCUGUAAUUAAUGUACAUGGCAGGGACGAAGAUAGGUGGAUAAAAUUCAGGGUUGAUUUUUUUUUUUUGGAUACAUAAACCUCAUAGGUAGAUCUUGGUUCAUAGCACUCUAGAGUCAGUAAUUUUCUUGGUGCCCUUGGGGCAAAAGAAUACCUAAUUUGAUUAGUCAUAUUCAAACAAUUUAAUAAGUACUUAAAUUCAAACAACUAAGUGGCCUUUUGAAAACUAAUGUAUCUAAAUUAAGUAAAAAAUGUUUUUAUUGCAUCACUAAAUAAUCGCAAUUGUUAGUUGUGCACUGAAUUACUUCUCAAACUUUGGAAGCAUAUUGAACACCAUUGUCACAAUUUGCUCUUUUGUCUUGAUCUUUGUGAGCUACCUACUCUCUCCCUGCCCAUGGCAGUGCCAUUCUACUUUCUGUGCCUAAGUAUUUGUCUGCUCCAAGUACUUAAUGUAAACAGGAUGACAUAUUUGUCUCUUUGUACAUGGCUUUUCUUUUUCACUUGAGAUGUUUUCAAGUUCAGGCAUGUUGCAGUAUGUAUUAGCACUUCAUACCUCUUUAUGGCAGAAUAAUACUCCAUUGUGUGGACAUACCACAUUGUGUGUAUCUAUUCAUCUGUCAAUGGACGUUUCAGUUGCUUCUACCAUUGGGCUACUGUGAAUCACGCUGCUGUGAACACUGAUGUACAAGCAGCUGUUUGAGUUCUUCUCUUCAGUGCUUUUGGAUAUUUAAGAAAGUACUUAUAUACCCAAGUCUGGGAAACCCAGCUUCACAGACACAUGACAUCACUGAAAUGGAUGUCACUUGCUCUAAUGGGGAGAGUCAGGAUGGCCCUGAGCUUGCAGUUUGGACAGUACUGGAAGAUUCUUUUUUUCCUUCAACAACUUAAAAUCCUCUGCACGUUCAGGUGCCUCACCUAUGAUUCCACCUGGAAAUCUCGGUUAUAUUUGAAGAGACACCUGACUUAGGGAGGGAUGAAGAGCUGGUGGCUCAGCAGGGGCCACAGUGACAGUCCAGGAAGGAUAUAGUGGUGCCCAGAGCUAAGGCAGUGAAAGGGAGAGAGGGAUUGAGUGAUGUCAAUGUUUUAUGAGCCAGAAGACCUGUCCAGAGGUGCCCAGGCCUGGCAUCAGCAGGAAAGCGGGGCAUGGCGGCUGACUAUGGUGUCUGUGUAUCAGGGAGUCAACCCAUCCCACAUGCUGAGGCUAGUACCUAGGUGUCUUUCUGUCCCCAACUCUGAUCACUUCUUGACUGCAGCUUGAUUCCUUUUUAUCAGCCAAGUGAGGUGGCACAUGCCUGUGAUCCUAGAACUCUGGGAGGCUGAGCAGGAGAAUCACAAGUUCAUGCCCAGCCUGGGAAACAUAAUGAUUUCACAAGACCCUUUCUUAAAAUAAAACAGAAGAAAGGCUGAGGAUGUAGCUCACUGUGAAGGCCCUGGUUCAAUCCCCAGUACCACACACACACAAAAUCCUUUUUGUGGCUUUAGGAGACUGGACAGUUGCACAUACCUUGCAAAUGAGCCCAUUUUUGCUUUUGCUUUGCUUUUGUUUGGCUCUGCUGCCUGGAAAAUGUCAAGUAUCAUCAGUAUCGCAGAAGUAACUUCAAUUUGGGGGUGGAAUCCUGAUUUUUUUUUUAGAAUGUUCUUGCUUACCAGUUUGAUAAAGUGAAAAUUUCUUUUAUUGCUACAGAUUUGAUGAAAAAAAAGAUCAAGUGUUUUAUCUAAUUUUCAGCAGAUAACCGAAAAUUGCCUAGAUGAUGGGUAGACAGGAAACACUUAAGCCAACAUUCCUCUUUUAUUCUGAGGGUUGUGUAAAACUGUCACUUGCCUCUGAUGACACUGUUAAAAUUGAUCACAUGACCGCAGAAAUGCUGUGAUUGAACCCAAGUGUUAAUCCUGCAUGAUGGGAUCAGUCCCCUGCUUGUGUCAUGUGUUGCUUUAUCCCAAAGUCACACUUCAAAAGCAGCACUGGCUUGUGUUGUGUGAAGGGACCUCUCCAGUAGGGAGAUACCAAGCCCAGCCUUGUGAGUGGUGGGAACCCUGCCCCUCCCUCCCUGUCUGUGGAGUGGGCACAGUGAUGCCCACAUGGCCUCCUUCGCUGGGCAGUUGUGGGUCUCAGGAAGAUCAUCUUAUGUGUAUGGGAGUUUGCAGAGCAUCAAGAGCAUUAGGCAGCAUCCUCAGUCAGGAAUCCAUGGCUGGGUGCACCCUGGGAGCUAUAGGAAAUCAGAGAAUUGGGACUCAGAUGACCAGGUCUCCCUGGGCAGCAGUCUGUGACAUGGUGUUCCCAGCGGCUCAGCUCCCUGAGCCCCUCACCCCUCCUGGUGUGAGGAGAGUUAGAGUUGGUGCUAAUAGUGUUUAUUUUAGAGUAAACACAUCCCUAUACUUCAUCAUGCUACAAAGAGAGGCUUUUAGGUUGGACUAUUCCACAAAUAUUUAUAGAGCACCUCCUAGGAGCAAGGCAUUGUUCCACUUUCUGCCAACACUAGGAGAACAAAUAGAUAUUGUUCCUGCUCAGAUGGGGCCUAUAGUGAAGGAGAGAAGGACAUAAAAAAGCAACAGCAACAGCAGAUAACCCCCACACCAAUAAAUAUGUGACUCAGAGCUGUGACAAACGCCGUGAGGGAGAAACGCGGAGUGUGAGGUGAGAUUCUAACAGGAAAAGAGGGGCUGCUUCUCUCUUCUUGGAGGAAGAAAUGGCUUUCGGGCUGAGGCCUAGCCCAGAAGGGGAGGCAGAGGCUUCUGGCAAAAGGAAUAUCUCUGUGAAGGCAGGACUGAAGGGCAGUGUAGAUGAUGAUGAACCAGAAGAGUCAGUCUGGGUGAGGUGCAGAGGACAGGCCACAGUGGCCACAGUAGACAUGGGAACCAGCUAGGAGGCUACAGCUGUCCCCAGGGAGGAGGUGGCUGUAAGUGGAGGGGCAGGGUUGGGAGAGUCUGGGCCUGCUAGACAUACAGGUGAAGGAAUGGGAGGUGUGAGGCCUUAUGACAUUGCCAGGUUUCUGCUACAUGCAGCUCAGUGUAGGAGGUCCCACUGACUGAGGGGACAUGAGCGUCCAGGGCAUUGUGUCAGUCGGCUUUCUGUCUCUGUUACAAAAUACCUGAGAAUAACCACUUAAAGGAGGAAACGUUUGUUUUGGCUCACAGUUUCAGAGGUUUCAGUCCCAAUAGCACUAUCAGCAGUGGGGCAGGUCUUCAGCACAAGAGCUUAUGGAUAACAUUUAAGAUAUAGACCAUAACAGGGACUGUACGAGUUUCCUAAGAUGCUUCUAGUUUGGAAUCUAGAAAUCUGAAACCAGGGCAUAGCAUCAUCACUUCAGUGUCUGCCUCUAUCUUCAGUGGGUUUCUGUGUCUCUCCUGGUCCUACGAGAUUAGAACACCAGUCCUGUUGGAUUAGAAGCCCACUGUCCUCCAUUAUGAGUCAUUUUAACCAAUUUUAUCUGCAGCAACCCUAUUUCCAAAUAAAGUCCCAUUUGCGGGGGACUCAGUUCAACCCAUAACAGGCACACUGUAACUUUUGUGGUGCACCUGGGCCUCUAGGUCAGAGUGACAAUGGAGGAGAUCCCUAAGGAAAGAAUGAAGAGGAGAAGGAGAGAAGGCCUCAAAAGUCAGGACUGAGAACCUGCAGAGGCCAAGGUACUUUUGGAGGAGGCAGAAAGUAAAGGGAAUGACAGAUGUUGCAACUUGUUUUCUUCUACAAAGUAGAAAGUUUCCUGUCUGAGACUUGUCAAGUUUUAAGAAUUCUGGAUUUCAGAGAUUGGCUGUAUAUUAAUACUGUUUGUCAUAACGAAUGCUUGAUAUAAUUCAGACUCUUGCUAUUUAGAAAUUUUUCAUUAAUCUUUUUAUAAAGUAAGCAUUCCUGUUUUGAUGAGAAGAAUUGAAGAAUCAACCACUCAAUGUGAUUUUUGAGUUCCUGAUUUCAUCUCUCAGUGGCACUCAUUGUCCGCCUCUCUCACUGGGGUGGUGCCUGGAAGAUAAUGAAGGAUACUAUUAUGCUAAACCAAUUGGUAACUGAGGUGCCAAGUGAAAUGAAAAUAGUUGUACACAGGCCAGGACUCAGUGAGCAACCUCCCAUGGUGUCUGCCCCAGGAGCAACUGCUUUUACAGAAUAAUGUUUGUUCAGAAUUUGGGUUGAGGUUGAGUGGGGUGUCAAGGCAUAGGGUGUGGGAACUGACACUUAGUCUGUGCGUUCAGUCCCUCACAUGUGCUGUCCCUGGGGUAGGUGAUAGGAGUCCGAUGCUGUGAAUGAGGGCUUGGAUGCACAGGAGUUUAAGGGUUUAUCCAAGUUGUGCAACAGAGCUAGGAUGUUUUUCUUCCCCAAACUUUGCCUUUAAUAUGGUUUAUUUGAAGACUGUAGAACACCUCUGCCCCCACCAGUCACAUUUAUGAGGCACAGAGGCUGACCGGGCUGUGGAACACAGCCAGAGUUUUUACUUAGCCCAGGACACGAGAAUGGGUUGGGUGUCUGGGUUUGUGUAUCAUCUGGGGGACUUUGAGAUCUUUAUCUGAAAACACCACUAAUGUGCCAGGCAUACCACUAAGCUUGCUGAAUGAAAGUCUCCUGGCUAGGAGUGUGUGGGGGAGUUAUUUUGGAAGAUAUCCCUGUGCAAUUUUGGCAUCAACCCAUUUCCCAUCGACAGUACAGUUGUUCCUUCUUAUCUGUGGUUUUCCUUUCCAUGGUGCCAGUUACCCAUGGUCAAGUGCAGAGAAAAUACUAAAGACAAAUUCCAGAAAUAAUUUGUAGGCUGGAGGUGUAACUCAGUAGCAGAGUGUUGAGGUCCUGGAUUCAAUCCCCAGCACUAUAAAAACAAACAAACAAACAACAAACAAACAAGCAGGCAAGCAAACAAGCAAACACCCCUCCCCAAUUCAUGUGUUUUAGACCAUUCACCAUUGUGUGUAGUGUGAUGAAUUCUUACAUCAUCGCUCUUCGUCCUGCCUGAAAGCUAGCUAUCAUAGUAUCAGAGGGCUACUGUUCAAGUGAUCCUUAUUUUAUGAAUUUGACUCUCAUAGCAUCACAGUGCUUAUGUUCCUUCCCCUCCCUCAAAAGCUCUGUUCCUUGGGAAACCCUUUAGUCCCAGCUGAGUUGGGACCAUUGGUCACUACAAUCUUAGCACCAAUCAGAGGUGGUUGCCUUCCCUCAAGUCACACUGCAUGGGCAAAGAGGGGCAGCUCUCUCAGAAGGCAUCCUUUCUGUGGGAUGACAAUGCUCUUGAGUCACCACUGAAGCCAAGCUUUGUAAAUUUCACCUCUCAUCUAGCUGGGUUUUCUCUGAGACCCCUGGAUACAUAUGCUCUGCAUUUGCAAAAUCAGUGACCAGAGCUAAAGUACAAAUGGUGAACAGGGAACAUGGUGGAGCUUGGAGCCUCUUGCAGAAGCAGGCCUCCCCAUUGGGUGGGCCAGCCAGGGCUUCCUCUUGUUUUAUAAGCAGACAGAGUGAGGCACUGAGCUUCUAGAGUCCAGAUUCUAACUGUAACAGGAGCUGAGGCAGGUUAAUGAUGCCCCUAGUAGAGAUUCCCUGUUCCAUGCAAAGAAAUACAGAGCUACCCACAAGCAAUCUAUGUACAGAAUUAAGCUCCUGAAAUUGUGCUAAAUUAUUUGAUUUAAAUACUGGUCUAUCUAGGGAUGAAGACCUAGGCAAAGUAGAUUCCCAUUAAUAAUGAAUGAUUUGCUGUAUUCUAAUCCUGUUAAGCAUACAGUUCCUCUGCAAAUGUAUUAGUGGCGAUGUGUGUUUGUGAAUUAAGCCCUUGGUGUAUCAGGUUUAUGAGCCUAAUUGUCUAUUCAAAAGGCUAUCACUUCAUCACCUCAUGAAAAUUAAAAAGGUCCCUUUUGUUGGAGUGUUUUGUUAAUCCUCUGAAUGACAUUUUCUCUUUCCUUCUCAUUUUCUUUUUAUUGAGCUUUAUUAUGAUUUAAAUGCAACUGAAGCAAAUCCUGCCAUUACACUGAAAUUGAUUAUUAAAAUAAUACUGAUAAUUAUACAUAGGUACUAGAAAAUAACACAUGUGGUGCGUUCACAUGGAGAUUAAACAUCCCCUCCCAUUAUACUGAAAAAGAUGCAGGGGACUAAAAAUAGGAGAACAGUAUAAUAUAUCUCUAAAAUGGGUUAAAGAUUUAGUGACUGCUCUACCUCAAGGAAGUUUGAGUGAUUUCUACUAAAAUUAUCAUCUGGAUCCAAAAAUGACAUCUAAUGAGAAGGUAUGAGCAAUUCAUCUGAAGAUAUCUUAAUAUUAGGCUCUUAAAUGGUUGAAGGACUUUCUUAUUUAGCUCCUUUAUUCAUUUUUUCCCAACUAUGUUUUUCUGUUCUUUGAAAGAAAAAAAACCCUUUUAGAUGAAAAAAUUUCAGUGCUUGUACUCUGUAGUGAAGUAGCACUCAGGGGAAAGUUUUAGCUAAAUUCUGCUUGGCUACAUUUGAACAACAAAAGAAUUCCUCUUUUUUUGGAAGUUAAAAAAUAACCUUUUCUUUUGGUAUGUGUUUAGAAAACUCAAAGGUACCUUUGUUUUUAAACUUCAACUGACUAAGGACUUAAACUUUUGUUUGAAGUAAUUUGCUUUUGAAAAAGCCAAGUUUGGGGAGGUGAGAAAGUGCAUGCUCAGCGCUCUGCCAAGCACUCUAUGCGGGUCUCCCUCUUGCUGCUAAGGAAUGUGCAGAGUCUAUGCCUGAAUGCUUGUAGCAGCAGGCAGAGGGCCCGGUGACCACCUAGACACUGAGCACAUAUAUGACACUUGAGACACUUUAGGAAGAGAUAGGGCUGGUUAGUGCCUUAUUGCUGCUGUAACAAAUUGUCAGUGGUUUAAUACACCACCAGUGUGUUAUCUCAUACCACAAUAUGGCUGGGAUCCUUUCUGGAAGUUCUGGAAAGUAGCUGUUUCCAACUCACUGCAGGAUUUGGUUCCAUGCAGUUGUUGUACUGGAGUCCAUACAUCCUCCUUGGCUGUCAGCUAGGAGCUUCUCUUGGCUCCUAGGGACCUUACUCUGGUCUCUGCAUAUGGCCCUUAUGCCUCAGAACCAGAAGGCUGAGUCCUUCUCACCCUGGGAAUCACUCUGAACUUGCCCUUCUUGUAUCUUACCUGUCUGUCUUCCUGCUACAUCCAGAGACUUCAGCUGGCAAAAGUCUAUAUCCUUACUGACAUCUGUAGAAUGUUGUUUUGCAGCAUAAUGUGACACCAGAAGUUUCUGGAAUUAGGGUAUGGACAUUUUUCUGGACUAGAGAGAAUUACUGUUUCUACCACAGCCUGCAAGAGACUCUUGUUCUAGUCUGUUAGAAUGGAGUCCUGUUUAAAGUGACAUUGUCACAGGAAGGACUUUAUAGUUACUUCUACCAUUUUCCAUGAGCGGAACUCAAGUCAUAGUUUCUACCUGCACUCAGGGAGGGGAUUCCACAAGGAUGUGGGUCAUGGGGGUCACCCUGUGGUGUGUCUACCACAGAGUGUUAGCCUGUAGCUGCUUGGUAUUAGGUUAUUGGUUGCCUCACAGUUGUUGGGCCAGGUGGCCAUUAAGGCUUGGUUACAGUGAGGGAUGGAGGAAAGGAGGGGAGGGAGGCUUUCAUCCAGUCUUUCCAGUGUAUUUUUCCCCCACUGCAGUUGAUCCCAGGUAGCUUUCUUUUGUCUGACUCUUCUGUCUCUUAUUACUAUCCACCUCCACUCACCCCUGCGUAUGGAAUCUGCUGGAAAUGUUGAGAUUUUUCCUCGGAGUUGUCUGGCAAGGUUUUCCUUUUACCUGGACAAUCUGUUAUUUCAGGCUGAGAAAACAGACCUGAGGCUUGGGUGUGGGGACGCGUUGAUGCCUGAGGUUGCUCUGGAGGACUAACAGGGCCUGAGCACAGGACUCGCUCUUGGCCCUCCCAUCUGACAGGCAAGAGCUAGGUGACUGGGGUGCUGAGGAGAUGAGAGAGGCCGCAUAGCGCCUCCUAGAGGGGAGCACCUGAGGUGGGCAUCUAAAGCCACAGAGGGACAGUGUUCUGAUUGUCCCCAGACUCGUUCUUCCUGGCUGUACUUCUCAACUCCCCCCUCUCCAUUUCUUCAAGAACCAUUUGCAAAUUGAGACAUUUCCUACUGAUAUUCCAGGCACUGACACAGAUCUCUUCUUCGCCUGUGGAAUGAGCCUGGCUUAGUUACUGGAAACUUUGCCUCUUUGUUAGGUGGGGGUUUAUCAUCACCACAGCGAGGAGAAGCACAAAAUGCCAUUAACAUGAGAGCACAAACGUGUUUCCUGGAUUUAUAUUCACCAACAAAACAUAAUUAUGUUUCUCUCCAAAAUAGUGAUACUAUUUGGUAUCUUUUCUGAAAUAGACUGCUUUGCAUUUUGUCUUAUCUAGAAAACAGCCAGUUUAGCACAGUAGUUCUCAGCAAAAAAUAUUCUGUCUCCCAUGCCAUUUACUUAGUCUAAAUGAUCUAUUUUAUUUCAGCUCACUGGGAGUUUUGGAUUGUGCCUCUGCUGUAUAUGUGUGUAUGUUUAUAGGUGGCAAUCUUUGUGAUAGGUAGGAGUCCAGAUAUUGACCCUAAAUGAAUUUUAUAACAUAUUAAAAUGUUGCCCCUAUCCAUUGUCACUUUUGUAUAGAGAAGAGAUAUUCCACAGGAGUAGCUCUCAUUUUGUGUUUCAAUUUAAAAUUCAAUUCAGUUCACAUAGUUGCAGUUUAGUAGUUCUGCAAACGUUUUUCCAUCUCAAAUAAGACAGAAAUCCACACUUCUUCCAUAUGUGGAAAAGAAAAGAGAAACACACACACUCUGUCUGUUCUGGGUGUAAGUUCUGCUAGCAUCAUGAACUUGCUAGCGAUCAAUCUCACAGGUCUAAUUUAAGCUGCAACUCAAAGAUAGAAACUGUAAAAUGUAAUAUGACUCUCCUGGCGCAAUGGUUUUUUCGGGGAGAUUAAUUCUGAGAUGUAUUUAACAAGAUUGAAGUAUCAGAGAUUUUGAUAAGUAAGAAUAAGAAUGCUAAAAGGACCCUUUAAUAAAUGAAGACAUUUCAGUGUCUUAUUUUGGUCCUCUGACAGAGCCAUUAUAUCUAAAUGUCUAAUCUCUUACCUUCAUUACUACAUCACUCUUUAGAGAGACUGUCUUAUGUUAUUUAGAAAUCCUGAACAUUAAGAUUCAAUAUUGUCCCUGUAGCUGGUCCUACAUGUUUCUGUCUCUUGCUGUAAAGACCAGGACAUGGAAGAGAAACUCGAAUGGGCCCAUGGUGACUUCUGCCCAAGAUCUCAAUGUUCCUGGAUAAACACAGUACAGAGUAUUGUGUAUGUAUUGUGCAUGUAUUUGCUGUUCAGUGUCUACUGAAAUGCAAUUGCUGGCUUAUGAGUAAAUAGCCAGUUGCCCCCUUAGCAUAGUGUGGAAUUGAUCUCGGCAAAGGGGCUCCUUGGGGUGCCCAGCUGCCCCAUGCAUGUUGCCUAAUGUCCUAGGCUCUGCAGAACUUUCAAAAAAUUAACACACUCACCAAAUAUGUUUUUCUUGCUCAUUAACUUGAUAAAGCUCACUGGUUUUUUAGAAUCACAGUAGCAAGUUAUAAAUGAUGUAUGAAAUGAAAAAUCUUUUCUCACCCAAUGAGCAGGAAGAGAGCACUGACAAUGCUUUGUCACUGCUGCUGCUGCUGUUUGCAAUGACAUCAAGUCAUGGAGUGGGCCCAGGACCAGGGAUGACCUUGGAAGGAGUCAGGGGUGACCAGGCAAUAAGUUCUCAGGCAGACCCUUGAAGUCCCGGGGAUUCCCUCUUCUCGCAUGCAUGGUGCUGGAAAGCUGUAGACAAGAUGAAAGAGUGCAGCAAGGGAGGUGGUGGCCUGCUCUCUGGGGACAGUGUGGCCUGGCUCCAGUUUGGGAGUCAGAAUGUUCCUCUUGCGCCUGUUGAUGUUUGAAGCCUUCCCUUUGCAUUUGGCUUAGCUUGUGUUACAAACUUAAUAGAUUAGCAAAUAUUUGCGUGCUCAUAUACCCCAAACUAGGCCAGCAUUGUAAGGACAAAAUAAGCACAAGCAUAGUAUGUAAACCAUAGAAACUCAGCCUUUGAUGUCAAAAUGCCUGCAUGCUAGUCACGUGACACACUACAGAAUGUACUAAAUCAACAUUUUCCCCGAGUAGAGUUAUUUUAUUUUAUUAUAUUUAUUUAUUUAUUUUUGAGGUGCUAGAAACAGAAACCAGGGCCUCAACCAUGGUGUGCAAGUGCUCACUGCUGAGCACUCCCAUGGGAGUGCACUCCCAUCCUCUUAUUUGUAUUCUUAUUGUUGCCCUUAUAUUAUCACGAUGCUUCAUACAUCAUAAUUGAAAAUAUAUUACUGCACAUUUACCUACUUUUGUAAUUAAUACUUAGUCAUUGUUUUUUAAAAAACGAGAAGACUAACAGUGAGAAAGGACAGCUUGCACUGGAUCUGUCCGAUGAGAAUGGGUCAGUAUUAACUGGACUAUUGUAUAGACCGGAGUGUCUAAACCUGGCCUGUAUCUGCUCUGUACCUAAUGUCUAUAAGGUGUGACUAAAAAAUACAGUGAAUGUUUAAAUUAAAAAAAAAUAUAGUAAAAGACACACUGCCAUUAAUUGUCCUCAAAGUACUCCCCCAUGUUUCAAACACUUAUCCCAUUGUUCCUGCCACUUUCUGAAGCAGUUCUCUUUCAUGUCCUUAGUUGUGCUGCUCUGACAUCCUUAUUGUCCUGAAUCAGUUCAAAACAUUUACUUUCCCUGGUCAUUUUGAUUUUGGAGAAAAGAGUAGUCACACAGUACCAGAUCUGGUGAAUAAGGUGGAUAAGGACACACAGUACUGUUUUUAUAAGCCUGCCUUUCCCUUAGAUGACACUUGGCAGUGGCAUUCACUAUAUUUUGUUCACACCUUGUAAAGACACUCAGGACUUCCAAACUGCUUCAGAAAAUGGCAAGAAUGACGGGAUAGUGUGUUGGAAGUAAGGGGAAAUAUUUAGAAGGGGAUCAAUGACAAUUAUUUUUUACUGUAAUAAAUUAAAAAUAUUUAACUUUUACCAUAUAUUUUGAGCAUACCUCACAGACCAGAGUGCCAACUUACUGAUUUCAAAUGUGUAUGUGAGCUAGGAAGGGAUAUUAUGAUUUGAAAGUUGUGGAUGAGCAUGGACUUUUAACAGGGAGUCUGAUGAAAGAAUUUGAAUGUCUACUGGCGCCAGGCUCUGAGAAUCAACUCUAGCUGUCUUAGCUGCUCCUGGGACUGGUUGUUGUGUCCUGGGUGGGGCAGUGCUCUGACCUCAGUCAGGAUGGGAGGCUGUCUUCACUCCAUGUUUCCAUGAUUGUUAAAGUCCUCCUGAGUGACAUAGGUUUUCUUAUUUAUUUAGUGUAAUCAGAUGACAGUCACAUCAUACAGAUCUUUGGGUCUUUCUCUAAUUUUGGAUGGCUUGGCGUGACUUUGGUCUGCAGUUGUCAAUUUUAAAAUCCAACUGCAAGAGGCGGUGUUGUCUCCAAACUUGAGUGUCUCAGUUUUGUCCCUGUUACCCUCUGCUGCAUAAUAAUUGUUGUUGCACACCCUCUGUGCUGUACUAGAGUAGACAAGUUUAUAGUAUCACUUCAGAAAUCUCAAUAGGCACAAGCAGAAGGAUACUAGUGACUUGAUGAACAGUAACUAUGGGUUUUAAGUUUGGCUUUGGUAUGAGUUUAGGGUGAAUUUCUGGGAGAUUAUCUUUACUCAUUUAGUUCAGCCAUUUUAACAAUAGCCAUCUAAUGGCUCAAUGUUGCUUGAAUAUAAAUGAGUGUCUUACUGGGGGAGCACUGAACUGCCUCUAAGGUGGAAAUGACUGGGGUUAUGACUUGGUUAGUCUGACCUUUCAUCUGGCUUCACAGUUGGCAUGUAUUGCUACAUCAUUAGGAGUUUCCUGUGAUUCUGUCUUGAAUCUCAUGGAUUGGAAAGGUAGCUAAAAAAAGAUUCUGACUGUCUGUCAAGGUUGAUUUUGGUGGAGACUAUAUGUAUUUAUGUUUUCUGAUUCUUCUCAAUAUAAACGUCAAUAGAUAAAAAGCCUCCUAUGGCUUUUAUAAGCGAUGUAAACUAAAAAAUAUUAUAGUAUAUGGUAAACUUCCCAUAGAAGACACUGGCUACUCUGUAAAUACUAGGAAAACAUUAAUCUUGGAAAUUUGGUAUGGCUGUAUUUCUAGAAGAUAGAACUAACUCAUUUUUAUAGUACAUAAAUAACUUUAUUAUUAUUAACCAUUUUCUCAAUGCUUUGGAGCCAGUUCCAAGAUUAACAAAUGGCAGUCUCAAUUCGUCUAGCUGUUUAUAUAAUUACCACCUAUGAAGUAAAAUUUUUAGACAAUAAAAGAGCAGACAGUCUCUAAGAUGAAGUCACCCUAGACACCAGAGAAGACACAUGCAGCUUUGAAAUACUGUUUGCAUUAUGCCAAGGAUUACAGGAUGUUGAGUCCGCAGUAGGAAUUUGGAGGCAAAGAUAGAUACAAUAGUCUUGAUGUUAGGAGGUUAAACGCUUAAUAGAAGUGUGUGGACCUUGCUUUAAGACCGCAAGAAAAGUGGGAAUUGAACAUGACUAUAAAGGUGUAUAGAUUUGGCAGCAUGAAUAUAAGACAAAGAUGAUUUGCCUGCUACAGAAAGCUCUCAGUCUGGGCAUAGAUGUAUAACUAACAAUGUUUGCAAUGUCCAGAUGCCUCCUGCUCCCUGGAUCGGGCAGGUUUUUGGUUUUAUUUUCUCUUCAGAGAAAUUAUGAAAGAAGAUGGUUUGGUGUCUCACUCAUCAUUACAUGGAAUUUGCUCCAGAAAGCACAUUGGGUUUUUCUGUUUACAUAUCUCAACAAACUCAGCCUCUGAGGAAAUACACGGAGAGCCAGCCAGAAAGAUGUGGAAGUGAAGAGGUGAACUAUUCACUUCAAGGCAGCCUUGCCUCUUGGCCCGAAUUGACAAGAUGCUGCCUGUGUGCAUGUUGGAGUUAGUUGGAAAGUUAGCUCAGUGCAGAACGCCCUGUCAUCAAAGGGGACAUUGCCCCUUAAAUUUUGAGAGUACCAGACACACAGCCCACCUAAUAGUAAUGCUAACAGGGGAUCAGAUGCACAUGCAUAUUUAUGACACUCACCUUGUGUUUCUACAGCCUUUCUUCCAGGAACUCAAAAGCUUCAUAAAUGGUACCUCAGGGACUGUGCCAGGGAGUUGAAAGAGAUCACCUGUUUGCUCUUUGACUCAGGGCAGGUUGUGUGGAUUUUCGGAGCCUCCCAGCCCCUCCUGUUCUGCAGUCCCCGGGAGGAGAGACUCACAAACCUCCUACUGGUAGUCCAUCUAAUCAUGAAAUUCCUCCUCUUCCUUGGAAGCCUGUUGUUUUUCUCUCAGAAGAGGCUUUAAUAGCCUGAUCACAACUUAUGCCAGUGGACUGUUCUAAAUUUACCCCAGCAUUCUUUCUUAAAGCCUGCGAAGUAUCUUACUCAGCCCCGACUCUUGGGACUGUCUGGUUGAUUUCCUUGCUUUCCUCUACCCUGCAUAUGGGUGUUUAAGAAUGUGGUAUUUGGGGUCAAAUAGACAUCAGUCCAAGUGAACUUCAACUCCAGUAUAUCCUGGCUGUGAUUUGAGGCAAAUAACCUGCCUGGCCUUGUUAUGGUUUGGUUUCCUAUCUCUAAAAUGGGAAUAAUACUGUACAUGUUUUAAUCCUUGGGUUGUUAUGAGGAUUCAAUGAGAUGAUACAGACUUUGUCAAGUACAGCGUCUGGCAUAUGGAGCUGUUUCCCUGCUACAUUGCUUUAAGAUACAGAGUUCCCUAUAUUCUGAAACAGACAUGUUUUUGAGAAGCUGUGUAAGAGUGCCAGCUUGGUGAAGGCAGGGCUGGGAGGUGGGUCGUUUGUGGUUGGCAACUGUUUUGAUGGAUCUUGAUUUCUUUCCUUGUGGUCAAUGCUCAUGCCAUACUGACUGUCAGAUGUUUACAAAUGAAUGAAUUGUAAGUCUGGCUGGGAGCCAGUUAAAAGAAUAUGUAAUCACCUUGAGCACAUCCUGCUACACAUGCAAGAAACCCAUCUCAAAAAGACAAACACUGUGAUUUCACUUACAAGAGCUACAUGGAGUACUCAGAGUUAGGGACAGAAAGAAUAGUUUACCAGGGUCUGGGGCAGGGAAAUGGAGAGGCAUUGUCUAACAGGGGCAGAGUUCCAGUUUGGGAAGAUAAAAGGUUCAGGACAUAGAUGGUGGUGAUGGCUGUGUUUAAUGACCACAGAAGUGUACAUGCUUAAAAUGCUCAGUUUUGUUAUACUUUCUUUACAACAAUAACAAAAGAAUACAUGAUGAGUAAUUUUGUGAUGAGAAACUUCUUUGAUACCACAAACAAUUAGCCUUUUAGUUUCACUGUGGCGUAUUUCCUACAUAUCAGGCAAUUCAUUCAUCACAAAUAUAUUCCAUACUUGCUUUAUACUGGGUAUUUUGGGGGAUUGUAGAAGAUGGUCUCUAAGUAAUACACUGUAUGCUCCUCAGGACACAUCAUGCAGGCAGGGAAAUGACUGAGAUUGUAGAUGAGAGAGGUCUGUGAGUGGAGGCCAGGAGAAAAGGGAGGACAUUCAAGGUAGGAUAAAGGGCUGGCCCCGAGGCAAUUUGAGUCACUGGAAAGGGUGAAAUGAUUGAGUUAAAAAUUGGGACUAUUAGAGACUUACAUGGAGCCUUGAACACCAGGCAAAAAGGCUUUAGAAUUGAAUCAGCAUGGAGCCAAUUUUGAAAAGAGACAAUAAACAGCAUUCAUGAAACAUUCCUCAGUGGCAAGACCUGGUUUUCAGAGAAGGGAGCUCAGUUCGGGGUGGCUUAUGUGUUUCCCUCUCUGUGGCUGCUGCUUUCUUCAGGGCUAUGCAGCUCUUUCUACAUAGAUGGCCCUACCCUGAUGUGGAUUUCCAGCUCCCCAAGUACGUGCUGAGUAUGUCUAAAACUCUUCCCAAACCAUGCUUCCUCCCAACUUCCAAGUUUCUGUUUUGGCAACACGCUCUAGACACACACAAAAUACUAACGUUUCUUUGCCCCAUGUCUCUCCCUCAAUCUCUGUACUGUAGAUAUUAAAUCAUUUUCUUUUUUCUUUUGGAUUAAAUUUUUUUUCUUUUGACAAAGGCCUGAUGAGGUGCUCCAGUGUUAUGGAAACUAGGGAGAAUAAGAACUUAAAAGGAGCCAGUGGAUUUGGCAAUGAGGUGAUCACUGGCAGCUCUUGAAAGUGUUUUCAGUACAGUGAUAGGAGUCUCUGUGAGACCAUAAAUGGCUGCAUAGGAACUUGCUAAGUGGCCUGUGGCUGAGAGGGGUAUGGCACCUCACAUGAGUCAUUUCUGAUAGGAUGUUUUUUCUUUGCAAGGACAAAAACCUGAAAAGAAUCUUUUCAUCAAAGGUUAUCUGGCUCCACUAUAACCUUGCUUCUCUCAUUCCUCUGUGUUCCCUAGAUGGGGACAAUGGCAGGUAGACAGGAAUACUCCAUCCUCCCAACCUGUCCACAGUACAGUAGCACACACCUGAGCUUCACUGCCUCCUGGAGAAGCCUGAGCCACCUGUUGUACGAUGUGCCCUGUAAGGGCUGGCAUGAUGCAGGGGGUGGACGUGCAGAGCCAUGCAAUUUCUCUGUUCCCCAAUGCUUUUAUCCAGAUUAUUUGCCUUCUUGAAUUAAAUAAUUGAUUAACUUUGAAGCAUUAUAUGGAAUU
ensembl:lncRNA